rnacentral:rRNA from 1 species
GACCUGACUGCUAUCGGAUUGAUACUAAGCCAUGCGAGUCAUUGUAGCAAUACAAGGCAUACGGCUCAGUAACGCGUAGUCAACCUAACCUAUGGACGGGAAUAACCUCGGGAAACUGAGAAUAAUGCCCGAUAGAACAUUAUACCUGGAAUGGUUUAUGUUCCAAAUGAUUUAUCGCCGUAGGAUGGGACUGCGGCCUAUCAGUUUGUUGGUGAGGUAAUGGCCCACCAAGACUAUUACAGGUACGGGCUCUGAGAGGAGUAGCCCGGAGAUGGGUACUGAGACACGGACCCAGGCCCUAUGGGGCGCAGCAGGCGAGAAAACUUUGCAAUGUGCGAAAGCACGACAAGGUUAAUCCGAGUGAUUUCUGCUAAAGAAAUCUUUUGUUAGUCCUAGAAACACUAACGAAUAAGGGGUGGGCAAGUUCUGGUGUCAGCCGCCGCGGUAAAACCAGCACCUCAAGUGGUCAGGAUGAUUAUUGGGCCUAAAGCAUCCGUAGCCGGCUCUGUAAGUUUUCGGUUAAAUCUGUACGCUUAACGUACAGGCCGCCGGGAAUACUGCAAAGCUAGGGAGUGGGAGAAGUAGACGGUACUCGGUAGGAAGUGGUAAAAUGCUUUGAUCUAUCGAUGACCACCUGUGGCGAAGGCGGUCUACUAGAACACGUCCGACGGUGAGGGAUGAAAGCUGGGGGAGCAAACCGGAUUAGAUACCCGGGUAGUCCCAGCUGUAAACUAUGCAAACUCAGUGAUGUAUUGGCUUGUGGCCAAUGCAGUGCUGCAGGGAAGCCGUUAAGUUUGCCGCCUGGGAAGUACGUACGCAAGUAUGAAACUUAAAGGAAUUGGCGGGGGAGCACCACAAGGGGUGAAGCCUGCGGUUCAAUUGGAUUCAACGCCGGG